rnacentral:rRNA from 1 species
ACUCCUACUGGAGGCAUCAGUGGGGAAUUUUCCGCAAUGGGCGAAAGCCUGACGGAGCAAUACCGCGUGAGGGAUGAAAGCCUGUGGGUUGUAAACCUCUUUUCUCAAGGAAGAAUUUCUGACGGUACUUGAGGAAUAAGCAUCGGCUAACUCUGUGCCAGCAGCCGCGGUAAUAC